GUAAUUUAAACGAAUGCAAUAUUGAUAUCCGCUUUCACAUUGUUUCCAAUACCACAUGCCAUUCAUAUGCUGUUACAUACAGAAACUCAACGAAACAUUGAAUUUAGCUUAAUUUGAAAAGUGGAAAAAGAAGAAAAAACUCGAUACUCUUAUUUAAUGUCACUACGCUCAUUGGCCGUAUGUCAAGUUGAAACGAUUAAGGUCAUGGGUUCACUGCAAAGGGUUUGUUCAUCACGAAAACAAGCGUUUAUUAAGCGCACCGAGAUAGACGAAGUUCCCUUUGAGCGGACCAUUCAGGAUGACUCAAUAUGAAGGAUAAAAGAUGCAAUCACAGAUGGGAAUCAACCGUCGGAGUAAAUAGACAAACUUGGUCGGCUUGUUUAAGGCACAGUAAACCGAUCCCGUUAGUAACGCUUUCUACGCAAGAGAGUUGCCGAUCAUUCAGCCUCAUCCGUCUGAAAGAUACUCGAUACAGAGAAAAUACAAGCUUAUACUUGCAAUUAUUCCCUUCAUUUUGCCGAUUUAGGAGAAUUCGGAGCGAAAAAUAAACAUUCGUUACAUUUCGAUAACAAAUUAACACAUUGCGUUCUGAUUCCCUAUUUUUAGUUAUCACUAUCAUGCACCUCGCCACUAUCUUUGGGUACAUUUCCAAGCCUUGCCUCUAUGGACAAACGAAAAUAGGUAUAUGUGAAAAGAAGUCCAAAU